rnacentral:tRNA from 1 species
GUCGGGUUAGCCAAACUGGUAAAGGCAAUCAUCCAACGUGAAUAGAGGCACUCUUGCAGGUUCGAAUCCUGCACCUGACACCA